rnacentral:rRNA from 2 species
GCGAAUGGCUCAUUACAACAGCUAUAAUUUACUUGUUCUAUUCCUUUAAACGGAUAACUGCGGUAAUUCUGGAGCCAAUACGUGCUAAAAGACGCAUUCAGUAAUGAGUGUGUUGCAUUUAUCGGAGCAAAACCUUUCCUGGUUUUAUGCUAACUCUGGAUAACACUGCUUAUCGCAUGACCUUGUGUCGGCGAAGUUACAUUCAAGUAUCUGCCUUAUCAACUUUCGAUGGUAGUGUAUUGGACUGCCAUGGUGUUGACGGGUAACGGAGAAUCAGGGUUCGACUCCGGAGAGGGAGCCUUAGAAACGGCUACCAUGUCUAAGGACAGCAGCAGGCGCGCAACUUAUCCACUGUUCAUUGAACGAGAUAGUGACGAGAAAUAACAAGUUCGUUCUCUAUGAGGUCGAGCAUUGGAAUGGAUGGAAUCUAAACAGUUCCAUGAGUACCCACGAGAGGGCAAGUCUGGUGCCAGCAGCCGCGGUAAUUCCAGCU